rnacentral:tRNA from 1 species
GGAGAGGUGACCGAGUGGCUUAAGGUGCACGACUGGAAAUCGUGUGUAGGGGAAACUCUACCGAGGGUUCGAAUCCCUCCCUCUCCGCCA